GUCAGUCAGUCAUACUGCCUUACGUGUGUAUCGGAGAAACUCGCCCACUGAUAUCAGAUCACUAUCACCAUGUCUUUGGAGGAUUGCCAAAUAUGUCCAAUAUGGUUUUCUUAAUUACCACCAUGAGGCGAAACGACGGACAGCGGAGUGCAAGACAUGCGGCACAAAGAUGUCAGACAGCCAGACGACAACGCCAAACUUUGUCCGUCACCUGAAGACUCAUUCUGCACAGACCAGCCUCCGCUCACAGCGCAGACCGACCAGAGAGAGGAGCCUCUGUUUGGGAGAAAGAACAACUGGAGCACAGUUGUCCCAAGACAUCUAUACUAACACAGCCUGGACAAUGUACAAAGGGCCUCUGGAACCGGAGUGAUAUUGCAUCAACAUCAUGGGAAAGUCAAGCGGUCAAACAGCGACUUCGUCAUUAAAGUGAGGAGGAGAAGAAGAAGAGGAGGAGGAGGAGGAGGAGGAGGGCGAAGGCCGAUGACGAAGGCCGGUGCUCGGCGACCCCUCGGACCGAGACGCUCUGUGAGAAACGCCGGUGGGAGGGCGGCGAGCUCGGGAACAAAAGCCAGCCGGUCAGGAGGAGAGGUCAUACAGAUGGUGAGAAUGCUCAGUCAGACAGCUCGAGUACUGAUGGGCAAACUGACCAAAUGACCCCUUCACACACACACAACACACACAACACAACACACACAACACACACUCCUCAGCUCUUCACAACUGCUCACGUUAGUAGGAAAAACAAAACCCCCGCAACACCACCCUCACUUCUAAUGAACUCACACACACACACACACUUACACCCUCCCCCCCAAAAGGGAACGGAUCAGCAGGAGAUGAAAGGUGAAGCCUCUUCAUUUAAAAUGGAGUUAAAAAUUAAACAACAACAAGAAAGCCUAGAGUGAUUAUCCAAAGACUUGGGACUUCCAGAAAAAAAAAAAAAAAAAA